rnacentral:rRNA from 1 species
GCUAAACGCGAAGAACCUUACCAAGGCUUGACAUGGAUUUCUAAGCACGUGAAAGCGUGUGACCCUUCGGGGGACUUCCACAGGUGCUGCAUGGCCGUCGUCAGCUCGUGUCGUGAGAUGUUGGGUUAAGUCCCGCAACGAGCGCAACCCUUGUGAACAGUUGCCAGCGCGUCAUGGCGGGAACUCUGUUCAGACUGCCCAGAUCAACUGGGAGGAAGGUGGGGACGACGUCAGGUCAGUAUGGCCCUUACGCCUUGGGCUGCACACGUACUACAAUGCCCAGCACAAUGAGAACCGAUGCCGCGAGGUGGAGGAAAUCUGCAAAANCUGGGCUCAGUUCGGAUUGGAGGCUGCAACUCGCCUCCAUGAAGUUGGAGUCGCUAGUAAUGGGGCAUCAUCUACGGCCCCGUGAAUACGUUCCCGGGUCUUGUACACACCG